CGUGUAGGCGGCCAAGCAGGUCUGUUGUGAAAACUGGAGGCUCAACCUCCAGACGUCGACAGAAACCGCUUGGCUAGAGUCCGGAAGAGGAGAGUGGAAUUCCUGGUGUAGCGGUGAAAUGCGCAGAUAUCAGGAAGAACACCAAUGGCGAAGGCAGCUCUCUGGGACGGUACUGACGCUGAGCGCGAAGCGUGGGAGCGAACA
rnacentral:rRNA from 1 species